rnacentral:rRNA from 1 species
AUUGAACGCUGGCGGCAGGCCUAACACAUGCAAGUCGAGCGGCAGCGGAAGGAAGCUUGCUUCCUUGCCGGCGAGCGGCGGACGGGUGAGUAAGGUAUGGGGAUCUGGCCGAAGGCGGGGGAUAACCACUGGAAACGGUGGCUAAUACCGCAUAAUCUCUAAGGAGCAAAGUGGGGGACCGUUCAGGCCUCACACCUUCGGAUGAACCCAUAUGAGAUUAGCUAGUAGGUGGGGUAAUGGCUCACCUAGGCGACGAUCUCUAGCUGGUCUGAGAGGAUGAUCAGCCACACUGGGACUGAGACGCGGCCCAGACUCCUACGGGAGGCAGCAGUGGGGAAUAUUGCACAAUGGGCGCAAGCCUGAUGCAGCCAUGCCGCGUGUAUGAAGAAGGCCUUCGGGUUGUAAAGUACUUUCAGUCGUGAGGAAGGUGUUAAGGUUAAUAACCUUAGCAAUUGACGUUAGCGACAGAAGAAGCACCGGCUAACUCCGUGCCAGCCGCCGCUGUAA